rnacentral:lncRNA from 1 species
AGACAAGAGAGAUGGCUGCUCCCUGUCUAGAGAAAUAGCCAUGUCCCCCCAGCUCAGCAGCAAUGGGAAGGUGGUCUGGGGUGAAUAAUUUCUAAGGGGACAGAGAGGAAGCAGAUCUGGAGAGAGAAAAACUGACCAGAGUUCUCACGGCUGGAGGCUCCCUUAAUUAAUUCACCUGCCUGAUCCCAUGGACCCACACCCUAAGUGACAAAGGGGCACCGGAACUCUGAGAAUCAGUUCUGAGGUUGUGAACAUUGGACACAGAUAAUUAUCCAGCUGUGAGUAAUCUGAAUGGUUCUCAGGGCUAUUUCUGCAUAAUUAUAAAUAUUUGAGGAUAUUAAACUCCCA